rnacentral:rRNA from 1 species
UACGGAGGGGACUAGCGUUGUUCGGAAUUACUGGGCGUAAAGCGCACGUAGGCGGAUUUUUAAGUCAGGGGUGAAAUCCCGGGGCUCAACCUCGGAACUGCCUUUGAUACUGCAAAUCUUGAGUCCGGAAGAGGUGAGUGGAAUUCCUAGUGUAGAGGUGAAAUUCGUAGAUAUUAGGAAGAACACCAGUGGCGAAGGCGGCUCACUGGUCCGGUACUGACGCUGAGGUGCGAAAGCGUGGGGAGCAAACAGG